CCUACGGGAGGCAGCAGUGAGGAAUAUUGGUCAAUGGGCGAGAGCCUGAACCAGCCAAGUCGCGUGAAGGAUGAAGGAUCUAUGGAUCGUAAACUUCUUUUAUCUGGGAAUAAAGUGAGGAACGUGUUCCUUUUUGUAUGUACCAUAUGAAUAAGCAUCGGCUAACUCCGUGCCAGCAGCCGCGGUAAUACGGAGGAUGCGAGCGUUAUCCGGAUUUAUUGGGUUUAAAGGGUGAGCAGGUGGUUAAUUAAGUCAGCGGUGAAAGUUUGUGGCUCAACCAUAAGAUUGCCGUUGACACUGGCUGACUUGAGUAGAAUUGAGGUAGGCGGAAUGCGUGGUGUAGCGGUGAAAUGCAUAGAUAUCGCGCAGAACUCCGAUUGCGAAGGCAGCUUACUAGACUAUAACUGACGCUGAAGCACGAAAGCGUGGGGAUCGAACAGGAUUAGAUACCCGAGUAGUC
rnacentral:rRNA from 1 species